AGCUGCCUGUGGACACACGGGCCCUGUGCUGUCUCAGCUGAGAGGUCCCCAUCUACUGACUCACUCGCACCUGGGGCUUCUUGGCUGGUCAUCUGGAAAGGUACAAACUGAAGUUUUCUUUAUCCAAGGCAAUCUUUUAGAAGUCACCCUACGUUUCUUCAAAGUGUCUGGACGCAGUGUGGAGCGUGGUUUAUUUCGUCCAUGUUGCGGCAGCCUGUGUUGGAACUCGCUGAGGUGAUGGGUCAUGCAUCUUCCUGACACACUGUGAAGCAGGAAGAAACAGGAACAGUAGCUCUGUGUUACACGUGAGGAGCGAGAAGCACCAACAUGGGAUGUGUGCUCUGUUUCGGAUGAUUGACCAGCAAGCCCCAAGGAUCUGCCUGUCUCCACCACCCCUCGACCUCCUAGCAUUGGAACUGCAGACAGGAGCUGACACACCCAGGCUUUCACAUGGAUGCUAAGAAUGAUCUAACUCAGGUCUCAGGCUUCCACUGCAAGUGUUGCACCCACUGAGCCAUCCAUCCCGCCCCCUCUACUCUUCGGAAGUUUCCAACCCUAAUAUGGUUUCCGACAAUUGUGUCCAACAAUAAAUAUGUUUUGCUUUAGGGAGGAAA
rnacentral:lncRNA from 1 species